ACCAGGUUGGCCGAGUGGUUUAAGGCGCCAGAAUUAAGAUCUGGUCUCCGAUUGGAGGCGUGGGUUCGAACUCGACACCUGGUA
rnacentral:tRNA from 1 species